CCCUUAGAGUUUGAUCAUGGCUCAGAGUGAACGCUGGCGGCGUGGAUUAGGCAUGCAAGUCGAGCGAUCUCGCAAGAGAUAGCGGCAAAAGGGUGAGUAACACGUAAGUAAUCUUCCUUCAAGACGGGGAUAGCACCGUGAAAACGGUGGUAAUACCCGAUAAUAUUAGCGACCCGCAUGGGUUGCUAAUUAAAGACGGGGACCGCAAGGCCUGUCGCUUAAAGAUGAGCUUGCGUACCAUCAGCUAGUUGGUAGGGUAACGGCCUACCAAGGCUAAGACGGUUAGCUGGUCUGAGAGGACGGUCAGCCACACUGGGACUGAGACACUGCCCAGACUCCUACGGGAGGCUGCAGUCGAGGAUAUUUAGCAAUGGACGAAAGUCUGACUAUGCGACGCCGCGUGCAGGAUGAAGGUCUUCGGAUUGUAAACUGCUUUUGUUAGGGGAGAAACCUGUAUUAUUAACAGUAAUACAGCUGACGGUACCUGACGAAUAAGCCACGGCUAACUCCGUGCCAGCAGCCGCGGUAAUACGGAGGUGGCAAGCGUUACUCGGAAUUAUUGGGUGUAAAGGGCAGGUAGGUGGUCUUGUAAGUGAGGGGUGAAAUCCCAUGGUUCAAUCAUGGAACUGCCUUUCAAACUGCAGGACUUGAGAGUGUUAGGGGAGAAUGGAAUUCCCGGUGUAAGGGUGAAAUCUGUAGAUAUCGGGAAGAACACCAACAGCGAAGGCAAUUCUCUGGGACACUUCUGACGCUGAACUGCGAAAGCUAGGGGAGCAAACAGAAUUAGAUACUCUGGUAGUCCUAGCCGUAAACGAUGAAUACUAGGUGUUGGUCCUUUCGGGGAUCAGUGCCGAAGCUAACGCAUUAAGUAUUCCACCUGGGGACUACGAUCGCAAGGUUAAAACUCAAAGGAAUUGACGGGGGCCC
rnacentral:rRNA from 1 species